rnacentral:misc_RNA from 1 species
GAUGAAGAACGCAGCGAAAUGCGAUACGUAAUGUGAAUUGCAGAAUUCAGUGAAUCAUCGAGUCUUUGAACGCACAUUGCGCCCCCUGGUAUUCCGGGGGGCAUGCCUGUCCGAGCGUCAUUGCUGCCCUCAAGCACGGCUUGUGUGUUGGGCCUCCGCCCUCCUCCCGGGGGACGGGCCCGAAAGGCAGCGGCGGCACCGCGUCCGGUCCUCGAGCGUAUGGGGCUUCGUCACCCGCUCUUGUAGGCCCGGCCGGCGCUUGCCGACACAUCAAUCUUUUUUCCAGGUUGACCUCGGAUCAGGUAGGGAUACCCGCUGAACUUAAGCAUAUCAAUAAGCGGAGGA